UGCUGUUUGUUGUUUGCAGCCGCCAUGAACGGCAGCCCAGCCAUGCCUGCCUGCCUUGGAGUCAACUGAGUGUGGACUGAAACCUCCAAAAACUGUUGUUUCCUGAAGUGGCAACUCAGUGCAAUAAAUUUUCCUCUGAGGACCAUUUUCAUUGCAUCCCACCGAUUCUGAACAGGAGCUGCUUGGUAGCCAGAAACCACUGGAACAUGAGGUAGCCUGUGGAGCAGUCAGCUGGUCGAAUGCAGAACCACAGAAUGGUAGGGCAUUGGUGCAGGGAUGCUGCUCUGUGUAGUGAUGGAGGUGCUUUUGGCAGAGCUCCACAGAGCCUUGGCUUGAGGUGGAACUGCCUCUCAGAUGGAAGUUAAGAGGACAUCAUCACUUCUAGCUUGGGAUGGAGGGCCUGGAUGUGCUCUUGGAGCUGGGAGCGGCAGAUCCAGUGACCCACUUCCUGCAGCCCCGCCCACCUUCUGACAUAUCCUUCAUCUGUGAUCUCAUCAGGAAAUGAACCAUAAGGAAGUUAGUACCUCUCCAUCAGUAAACCUCUUCAGGAAUCCCUUAGUCAAGUUGAUGAUCAGGAUUCCUGUCACACACCGCUGGAAACUGUCCCCAUAAGAGUACACCCAAAAGCACACCACAAAGAGCCUGGUCACAUCCCCAGGUCCUUGCAGGAGAGUGUCAGAUGGCUUAGAGAAGCAUUUUUGUAGCACAGAAUCUGAUCAGUUUUUAAAAAUCUUACACUGCCUGUUGAAGGAAAGCGUGCUCUUUUUAAGGGAAAGGUUCUGCACCUUGUGUCACUGGCUCCUGGUUAAUAUUCAAAGCAUCAUCACUGAAUUUAGUACUUGCUGAAUUAAUCCAGCACAAUCAGAGUUUCAGAGUACAGGCAUCGUACAGUCCAUGGGAAUAUGGAAACUUCUGGGUUUCUGCUUGUAUUUUCAUAGGAGACAACUUGUAAAGCAAGUUUUUCUGAAAAUUUGCUAUUAUUUGAUUAGUAUAUAUAUAUAUUGUCUUUUUCCUUUUUAUCGGUACUGGAGAUUGAACUCACGACUUCCUGCUUGCAAGGCAGGCGCUUAUGCCGCUGAGCUAAAUCCCCAGCCCGAUUAGUAUAUUUUUGUGACACAUCAUAUUUACUCUCAUCUUUGUAAAUUGAUAUAUAUAUACAAAUUCUUGUUUACUUUUAUUCCCCUUCAACUCCUAUAUUUCCCUCUUCUUUUUUCUCCAGAUCCUCCACGUUCUACACGGAGAUUACUGUGCUAUUUCCACUGUUUCUCUUUCAUUUUGCUCUUUAAUAUAUUUAUAUUUUGGAUCUCUCUGACACAACACGGCUCUCUACCACCACCAGGACUGUGUACUGCACAGAGGCACUGUGUGUCCCACUUAUGGCUUCUGUGCUUGCACUAUCUGUGAUCUAUGCUGGCUACUUCUACAACAUGGAAGAGCACUUACAAUGCAGAAAACUUGGAAAAUAGUGAAGCACUGCUGCCCUCCCUCCCCACCAACUCCUACCAGGUAGGCCAGCAUUGACUGUGGGCAUAGUGCUGUCAAGUUGUUUACUACAUUCACACACACACACACACACACACACAGACACACACACACGGACUUAGUUUAUCUUGAGUUUGUGGAUUAGCUUAAGGGGUUGCCUUCCUCACUCUGAAAGCUGUACCCCAGAGGAAAACACUGAGCUCUGCACUUCACAGGUUUUCCUUCUGUCUCUGUAUACAUGCAGAACUCACUCUAUAAAUAAUGACACACGUUUGUGCGAGGUGCUGACCAGUGGUCACAGCCUGGAUUCUUUGUUUCCAUCUCUGUGAAAGAGUAGCACCAUCAGGAAGCACUUACUUUGGGAGGCUGUGUACCAGCUCCACAUCACAUAGCCAGGGAUGGUGAGGGAGAUCCCAGGACCAAAGGCCAUCCUACAAACCAUUGUGUGGUGUGGUUGCAUGACAUGGCCCUCCCUCAUGUUGAGUUUUUGGUUUACAUAAAAUGAAUUUCCUUUUCAAUUUCUAGUCUAGGUUCAAUUCUCAGCAUGUGGAUUUCCCAAUAUCAUUUAUUAAAAGCACUAUCUUUCUUCCAGUGAAGGUCUUGGGCUCCUUUAUCAUAGCUAAAGUAACCAAGUACACUUGCAAGUGUUUCUGCAUUUACUAUUCUGUCCAGCCAAUUUUCAGGUCUGUUCCUUUUUGGUAACAUCAUGCUGUUUUUAUCAUGGUAGCUUUGUUUUAACUUUAAGUCAGGGAUUGUGAUGUCCUUCACCUUGCACGUGUUGCCAACAAGUAUUUUCACUAUUCUCUUCUAGUUACAUAUGACUUUUAGGAUUGCUUUCUCUAGUUUUGAGAGGUACACUAUUGUUAUUUUUCUUCAGAGUGCACUAAAUCAAUGUAACAGUUUGGAAAGUAUGUCCAUUUUCACUAUAUUGUAUUCUGAAGCUGCCUUUCCAAGAACAGGGGAUAUCGCUCCAUUUCCUGAUAUCCUCUUUGAUCUCUUGUUCAGGAUGCUGUAGUUUUCAAAGCACAAAUCUUUAACUUCCUACUAGAAUGAUUUCUAAGUAUUUCAUUUUUCUUAAUGCUAUUAUGAAAAGUGUCACUUCCUUACCUUUUCUCUCAAUGAGUUUGAUAUUAGUGUUUAGAAAUGCUAAUGAUUUCAUUUCUUUAUCUCAAUCUGAUACUUUGUAUCCUGCUAUGCUGCUGAAUUUUGUUUUUAAUUUAGGAGUCUUUUGGUGGAGUUUUAUAAGGUCUUCUAUGUAUACUGUCAUGCCAUCAUCAAAUAAAGAUAACUAAACUUCUUCCUUUCCUACCCAUAUUCCUCUUAUUUAUUUUUCUUUUUUAAAAAAACAAGAAUAUAGUGCUUUAACACUUACAAAUCUUUCACAUACAUUCUCAUUUGACCCUCAUAGCAACCCUGUGAGGUAGGCAGCACAGAUGUACUCAUUUAACAGACAAGGAAAGUAAAUCUCAGGGUGAUUAAUGUGCCCAAAGUUCUACAGUUAGUAAUUUAUAGUAAUAUCAGUCUUUGGCCUAAUAAUUCAGCACUCAGACUCCCCUUAUGUGUGCUCAUCUACUUCACAGGAAUGAUGAAAAUAAAAUGAAUUCAAGGCUAUAAAAGUACUUUGAAGGGGAAAAAGCACUAUAUACCCCAAAACUAUAAUUGUCCAUAAUAAAUGGCUCAUUAUCUUCUCAUUCCAGCUUGUGCUUGAACCUAGAAUGUUAUAUUACCUCUGUCUGUAUGAACUAAGCAAAUAGGUAAGGCAGGGUAACAGCAUGAUCCUGUUCAACAUUAUAUAAAUCACAAUUGGGGUAACUGCAUUAUUAAGCAAAAUGAACACACAAAGGCUAAUAAGCAACUAGGACUCACUAAAGUACACAGUAAAGCAAGGCAACAUUAUCAGAUGUUAUCAGGGCAUGGUUACGUAGAAGAAAAACUUGGUGUCAGAGUUCAAACUGGCACACACAUCUAAGGCAAAGUGGUGGCCAAGAAGAGUUACUUGACCUUCCAAAAACAUUAAUAUAGUCAGCUAUUUAACACCCCUAAACACACUUGCUGUUAUAUCCGUUAGAGCUCUUUUUUUUCCCCUCUCUUUUUUACAACAAAAUUUACACAUUUUGGAUUUUAUUACUUAUUGGAUUAUUUGGAUCUUAUUACUUUUUGGGUGGGGGGGGAGAGCGAGCUGUGCAAGAGGUGGGCAGGGCGAU